CGGGGCCUCCGUGCUGGACUGCGUCUGCAGCCACGUCGGCCGCGGUGAGGGAGAGGUGUUUUCCUGCAGCUGUCAGCGCAGGGACCUCGACACGCCUAGCACCGCGGUGCCGGUUGUGGCGCGCCUGGCACAGAGUAGCUGGUGUACGGACCACCGUCGCCUGCAGAGGGAGACCAGCAGCCCAGAGACGAGGAGGGGCGCGGCGGCGCCCUGGUGGCUGUUCGCAGCAUCACCUGGACCUCUGGCAGGGGACUCAGCGGUGGCCUCGCGUGCCUCGUCGCUGCCGACUGCACCGACCCCUGCUCCGUGCACAGCUGCGGUCGACGUGCCAGCAGACGCAGUCCAGCACGGAGGCCCCGUUUGAUGCAAGCAGAGCCAGCGGCGACGC